CCAGACCCUUUGCCUAGAAGAUGCCAAGCACGUCAAGCUGGCCUCUGUGGUGAGGGCAGAGGUGCUUGGAGGAAUGCCCCUUCAGCCCUCACCUAGAGGACAUUCAGAGAAGGGCGACAACAGCCCCAGGCUGGGGCUCCGAGACGGCGUCCGGCGCUGCCGCCGUCCUGCCCGCCGGUGUACCUGGGCUGGCCGCCUCCGGGUCCCGGUACAUGGUCCCCUCGUCGCCGGUUCCCUCCGGGCUCCUCAGA
rnacentral:lncRNA from 1 species